CCUCUCGCUUGCUGCACUACUUGCCCUAAUAUCCCACCUCUAUAAAUACCCGCAGGUGGCCAACCUGCGUCGGAUAUCAUCCUCGUCUCGGCCGUCUCCUGCCAUCAAACUGUUCCAAAAAAGCCUCGUCUCUCUUUCAUACUGCUUCCCGUUCUCGGAUGCGAUGAAGAGAAAACAUUCUCUACUGUGAUCGUCGGGUUCCUCUUCGGAUCCGGCGACAUGAAGUCCAUCUAAUUUGUAUCUUGCCAAACGAAGGACCUAUGGAGGAAUCGCUUCUUACGCGGUGCUAUUCUUUCCAAGUUUGCCUUCGGAUAGGAAGUAAAAGCGAGGUGGGACGGCCGGACUCGUAGAUGAAUUCGAGUUUGGGUGAUCUCCGGGUCGUUCUUUCGAUCCGUUCUUCGCACAUCUAGAAUAGUGUUUGGCAGAGAUCCAUGUAGAAGAUCGAGUAAGAGGGGACGAAAAGAGCGAAGGGCCCAGCAGAGGGGUGAUGAACUCGUGAGUUGAGACCUCUCUAACUUCUCGGUAUAACCUUCGCAAAGUGAAGCCUGCCGUGAUCGUACGACGCCUGAACUCUGUGGUUUUCCUGGUGUCUCGUACACGGCUACAGAUCCUCUCGGCGACUGAUUAACUUUUCAAUUUUUCUUGAUGAUACUUUGGAGCAUUGUAGCUUAGCUAA